UACAGAGGGUGCGAGCGUUGUUCGGAAUUAUUGGGCGUAAGGGCGCGUAGGCGGUGCGGUAAGUCACCUGUGAAAUCUCCUGGCUCAACUGGGAGCUUGCAGGCGAAACUGCCGUGCUGGAGUGUGGGAGAGGUGCGUGGAAUUCCUGGUGUAGCGGUGAAAUGCGUAGAUAUCAGGAGGAACACCUGUGGCGAAAAGCGGCUCACUGGACCAUUACUACGCUGAUGCACGAAAGCUAGGGG
rnacentral:rRNA from 1 species